rnacentral:lncRNA from 1 species
UACCUCUUUAAGAUGAUGUUCGAUCUCUUGAACUUUUUGUUUGAGAUUAUCCUCCCGAUGAGAUUUUCUGGGACAUGGAGAGUAACCUAGGGUUUAAUUUCUGUUGGAGGAUAUCGGGGAACACCGACGUCACUCACCCUCCCUAUAUUUUGAUGGGAAGGAGAUUGUCAAGCAGCAGGAGCAGAAUGAUGCGUGCACCCAGGGCCUGGCUUCGGACUCCUACGGUGAGACCGACAACUGUGCCAAAAAGGAGCUGCCUAAUGAAUAGGCUUUUGAGGCCGUUGCCGGUCCUUUGCCUGCUAAAGCUGCUGCAUG